rnacentral:rRNA from 1 species
GACGAACGCUGGCGGCGUGCUUAACACAUGCAAGUCGAACGGAAAGGCCCUGCUUUUGUGGGGUGCUCGAGUGGCGAACGGGUGAGUAACACGUGAGUAACCUGCCUUGACUUUGGGAUAACUUCAGGAAACUGGGGCUAAUACCGGCUAGGAGCUCCUGCUGCAUGGUGGGGGUUGGAAAGUUUCGGCGGUUGGGGAUGGACUCGCGGCUUAUCAGCUUGUUGGUGGGGUAGUGGCUUACCAAGGCUUUGACGGGUAGCCGGCCUGAGAGGGUGACCGGCCACAUUGGGACUGAGAUACGGCCCAGACUCCUACGGGAGGCAGCAGUGGGGAAUAUUGCACAAUGGGCGGAAGCCUGAUGCAGCAACGCCGCGUGCGGGAUGACGGCCUUCGGGUUGUAAACCGCUUUCGCCUGUGACGAAGCGUGAGUGACGGUAAUGGGUAAAGAAGCACCGGCUAACUACGUG